AGGGAGACCUACUAAGUAACACUUUGAAAGCGAAUUGCGAAUAGAAGGUUGCUGUAGUCACCUAAGGUCGUCGAGGGUUUUGUUGAUUUGUUCUUGAUUAGUUUCAAGAGAGUCUCUAGUUAUUCAGGUGUUGCUACUUAAUUAGGAAGAGUUUUUGUUCAUUAAUUUGGAUAGGACUUAACACCGACUUAAAAAGUUAAGGGCUAUUAGCUCAGGUGGUUAGAGCGCACCCCUGAUAAGGGUGAGGUCCCUGGUUCGAGUCCAGGAUGGCCCACUUUAAUCUUAGAGAAAUAGUGCAAUUAUCGACUGCAUUAGCAACUUUGGGGGUAUAGCUCAGCUGGUAGAGCGCCUGCUUUGCAAGCAGGAUGUCAGCGGUUCGAGUCCGCUUACCUCCACCAAAUUUUUACGUGUAUUGGAUACUGUCGGUAAUCGAAUAGCGUAGAUACAGAAAAGAAACCAAGUCAACGAGAAAUCAGCAUCUAGAGAUAAGAGCCAUUUGAGGUUCGUUAUCAUGGAGUGCUGGUCUUUAAGCGACUAGCGAGAACCUUGACAACUGCAUAGAUAAAUAUAGAAAGCAAAGGUAGUUCAAAGUCUGUAAAAGACAUUUGAAAAACGAAAAGCCCGAUUGUUGUUCUAUUUAUUGAGAAAGCACAACGAGAGAAGUGUUGGCAUAAGUCAGUGUUUGUCUUCUAGUGAUUUCAAAGUAUUUAGGAGAAUAGUCUAGCGCAAGAGA
rnacentral:tRNA from 1 species